rnacentral:rRNA from 1 species
AGCGAACGCUGGCGGCAGGCCUAACACAUGCAAGUCGAACGAAGUCUUCGGACUUAGUGGCGGACGGGUGAGUAACACGUGGGAACGUGCCUUUAGGUUCGGAAUAACUCAGGGAAACUUGUGCUAAUACCGAAUGUGCCCUUCGGGGGAAAGAUUUAUCGCCUUUAGAGCGGCCCGCGUCUGAUUAGCUAGUUGGUGAGGUAAAGGCUCACCAAGGCGACGAUCAGUAGCUGGUCUGAGAGGAUGUUCAGCCACAUUGGGACUGAGACACGGCCCAAACUCCUACGGGAGGCAGCAGUGGGGAAUCUUGCGCAAUGGGCGAAAGCCUGACGCAGCCAUGCCGCGUGAAUGAUGAAGGUCUUAGGAUUGUAAAAUUCUUUCACCGGGGACGAUAAUGACGGUACCCGAAGAAGAAGCCCCGGCUAACUUCGUGCCAGCCGCCGCAGUAAGAC